rnacentral:lncRNA from 1 species
GCAUGAGAAAUGGAAGUCAUUUAAUUAGUUCAUGUGAUAUGUUGGAGCUUGAGUGAAAGGUCCCAUUCAUUUAUAUUUUGCAAGAUAUCUAGUGAUAGGUCAAUUCAAUGGUUGGCGUGACAAUUUGGUUUCUAAGGGUCUGCUCCAAAUGUAGGCUUUCUGAAGGAAGGUCUUGUAAACUUCUACUUGGCACGUUUUUAUUCAAGAAAGAAAUGAACCGAAUUGUGUCCCUUCCUUUCCGUGAUGUUAGUGUU